rnacentral:tRNA from 1 species
GAGGGUAUAGCUCAGUGGUAGAGCGUGUGCUUAGCGUGCAACGAGGUACUGGGUUCAAUCCCCAGUACCUCCA